rnacentral:rRNA from 1 species
AUACGUUUUCAUUCAUUGAAUGAAAAUCAACUGACUGUCAUACUUCCAAGAAAAGCUCGUACUACUGUAAAACAAGCAUUACCUGUACCGUAAACCGACACAGGUGGGUUGGUAGAGUAUACCAAGGGGCGCGAGACAACUCUCUCUCUAAGGAACUCGGCAAAAUGACCCCGUAACUUCGGGAGAAGGGGUACCCUCUUAAACGGAGGGUCGCAGUGACCAGGCCCAGGCGACUGUUUAUCAAAAACACAGGUCUCCGCAAAGUCGUAAGACAACAUAUGGGGGCUGACGCCUGCCCAGUGCCGGAAGGUUAAGGAAGUUGGUUAUUCGUAAGAAAAAGCUGACGACCGAAGCCCCGGUGAACGGCGGCCGUAACAAUAACGGUCCUAAGGUAGCGAAAUUCCUUGUCGGGUAAGUUCCGACCCGCACGAAAGGCGUAACGAUCUGGGCGCUGUCUCGGAGAGAGACUCGGUGAAAUAGACAUGUCUGUGAAGAUGCGGACUUCCUGCACCUGGACAGAAAGACCCUAUGAAGCUUGACUGUAGCCUGGAAUUGGGUUCGGGCUCUUCUUGCGCAGCCUAGGUGGGAGGCGUUGAAAGUCUUCUUUCGGGAAGACUGGAGCCAACAGUGAGAGACCACUCUGGAGGAGCUAGAAUUCUAAUGGCGUUCCUUGAAGCAGGACGCUUGACAGUUUCAGGUGGGCAGUUUGACUGGGGCGGUCACCUCCUAAAAGGUAACGGAGGUGUGCAAAGGUUCCCUCAGGCUGGACGGAAAUCAGCCGUAGAGUGUAAAGGCAGAAGGGAGCUUGACUGCAAGACCUACAAGUCGAGCAGGGGCGAAAGCCGGCCUUAGUGAUCCGACGGUUCCGUGUGGAAGGGCCGUCGCUCAACGGAUAAAAGUUACUCUAAGGAUAACAGGCUGAUCUUCCCCAAGAGUUCACAUCGACGGGAAGGUUUGGCACCUCGAUGUCGGCUCAUCGCAACCUGGGGCGGUAGGAUGUCCCAAGGGUUGGGCUGUUCGCCCACGAAAGCGGUACGUGAGCUGGGUUCAGAACGUCGUGAGACAGUUCGGUCCAUAUCCGGUGUAGGCGUUAGAGCAUUGAGAGGAGCCUUCCUCAGUACGAGAGGACCUGGAAGGACGCACCUCUGGUAUACCAGUUAUCAUACCCAUGGUACACGCUGGGUAGCCAAGUGCGGAGUGGAUAACCGCUGAAAGCAUCUAAGUGGGAAGCCCACCUCAAGAUGAGUGCUCUCUAUCAGGUCACGGCAAGACAAGCCGGUUGAUAGGUGUCAGGUGUAAGACCAGUAAUGGUUUCAGCUGAGACAUACUAAUAGACCGAUCGAUUUUGACAG